UACGUAGGGUGCAAGCGUUAAUCGGAAUUACUGGGCGUAAAGCGUGCGCAGGCGGUUUUGUAAGUCUGACGUGAAAUCCCCGGGCUCAACCUGGGAAUUGCGUUGGAGACUGCAAGGCUAGAAUCUGGCAGAGGGGGGUAGAAUUCCACGUGUAGCAGUGAAAUGCGUAGAGAUGUGGAGGAACACCGAUGGCGAAGGCAGCCCCCUGGGUCAAGA
rnacentral:rRNA from 1 species